rnacentral:rRNA from 1 species
AUGGCGCUGAGCAGCUCGCCGUUGGCAGCAGUGAUGCUGAUGAUGGCAUUCUCUGCAGCGGCGGCGGCCGACGUGCCUUCGCCGCCGCAGAACUGCACCCGCACGUGCGGCAGCGUGAGCGUGCCGUACCCAUUCGGCGUCGGUCCGGCCAGAUGCUACAGGCCGGGCUUCAACCUCACCUGCGACACGAGCGGCCAGGGCACACCACGGCUGCUGCUCGGCGACGGAACGCUCCAAGUAGCGGAGAUCUCCAUCUACAACUCGACGGUGCAUGUCAUACACAACGGCGACAUAAAAGUCGACGCCGUCGGCAACGGCAUGUUUAGCGGCGUACUCAGCGACGACGACGGGCCCUACAGUCUGUCGUUCGGUAAUGAACUCGUCGUGGUGGGCUGCAACGUCUACGCGACACUGCACGAGAAGAAUACAGACGCCAUUAUAAGCGGUUGUGCUUCAUUCUGCCCCGACGACGUCGUUAUGAUGUACGCUCUCCUUGCCGCAACUACCACACUAGAAACACUACUAAAUUCGACCGCUCGCAAGUACUGCGACGGCAUGGUUUGCUGCCAGGCGGCCAUCGCCCAAACCCGUCAGAAUCUACCGGGCUCCGUGCAGAUCAAAUGGCUCCGUCCGAACCAUAAAGUGGACGAGCCAGGACCGCGUUCGCGCGUGUUCGUCGCGGAGAAAGCGUGGUUCGACCAGAAAUUGGUCUAUGAUGGUUUAAUGGCAGAUCCUCCGUCAAAAGAUGCAAUGUCAGUUCCCAUUCUUCUGGACUGGGCGGUCGUUGACGAAGAGCGCCCCCCAUCAAACGAGGACAGUACGUCCUUGGGUUGCACCAGGAAAGAAGCCCUCAAGGUCUGCAAGAGCAAGAAAAGCGCCUGCAGUUCGACAGGCAGAGGGCGUCUUUGCUACUGCCAAAAUGGCUACGAAGGCAAUCCUUAUAUCGCCGAUGGAUGCCAAGAUAUCGACGAGUGCGACCUCCCUGCAAAAGACAUCGAGUGCUACGGAGAAUGUACCAACACACAGGGAUCCUUCGAGUGUCGACUUGGCAGUGGUGCAGGAGUUAUUCUUUUUAUUCUCACAAUAUUCUUCAUGGUGCAAAAGAUUAAACAUCAGAGGGCCAAAAAGUUGAGACAUAAAUUUUUUGAGCAAAAUCGUGGACAAUUAUUGCAACAACUAGUAGCGCAAAGAGCUGAUAUUGCAGAAAGAAUGAUCAUAGCAUUAGAAGAGCUGGAGAAGGCAACAAACAAUUUUGAUAAAUCUCGGGAGCUUGGUGGGGGAGGGCAUGGUACUGUUUACAAAGGGAUUUUAUCAGAUCUACAUGUAGUAGCAAUCAAGAAACCAAAGGUGGUGGUUCAAAAAGAGAUUGAUGAGUUUAUCAACGAGGUUGCUAUCUUGUCCCAAGUCAACCAUAGAAAUGUGGUGAAACUCUAUGGUUGUUGUCUUGAAACGGAAGUUCCAAUGUUGGUUUACGAAUUUGUAUCCAAUGGGACCCUUUAUGACCAUCUUCAUUCAAGGUCACUAUCAUGGGGACAUAGGCUACGUAUAGCAGUUGAAACAACCAAAUCUCUUGCUUAUCUUCACUUGUCUGUUUCGAUACCUAUCAUCCAUAGAGAUAUCAAGUCCGUUAAUAUACUUUUGGACGAUACUCUAACAGCAAAGGUAGCAGACUUUGGAGCUUCAAGGUACAUUCCAGUGGAGCAAUCAGGGGUAACAACAAUGGUGCAAGGUACAAUAGGAUACUUAGAUCCUAUGUACUUCUACACAUCGCGCCUCACAUAUAAGAGUGACGUUUAUAGCUUUGGUGUCAUUCUUGUGGAACUAUUGACUCGAAAGAAGCCCUUCUCAUACAUGUCUUCUGAAGGUGAUAGUCUUGUUGCAAAAUUUGUUACCCUGCUUGCGGAAGGCACUUUAUUGCAGAUAUUAGAUCCACAAGUGAUCGAAGAGGGCGGGAUAGAAGUUGAAGAAGUUGCCAAGCUUGCGGUAACAUGUGUGAAAUUAAACGAAGAGGAUCGUCCAACCAUGAGGUUAGUGGAAAUGACACUAGACGGCCUUCAAACAUCCAUGGAUCACAUUGUAGAUGGUCAAGUGGUCGGGGAAUUUGAGAAGGGUGACAUUGCAAUAAAUCCACCAUCAACAAAUAGUGCCGAAAGAAACAAUGAUGAUUCAACAAGACAAUACAGCUUAGUAGAAGAGUUUAUGUUAUCUGCAAGGUGCCCUCGAUAG